ACCAUGCCUAAGUCCCUUGGAAAAGGGCAUCAUAGAGGGUGAUAAUCCCGUACAUGGCAUGGAGCGCCCGAGGCUUUGUGAUACGCUUUCUAAGAGUCGAGUUGUUUGGGAAUGCAGCUCAAAAUGGGUGGUAAAUGCCAUCUAAGGCUAAAUAUUGGGGAGAGACCGAUAGCGAACAAGUACAGUGAUGGAAAGAUGAAAAGAACUUUGAAAAGAGAGUUAAACAGUACGUGAAAUUGCCAAAAGGGAAGGGUAGGAGGUCAGAGAUGCGUCUUGGGAUUCAGCCUUGCUUUUGCUUGGUGUUUUUCCCAAGUUGCAGGCCAACGUCGGUUUUGGGCACUGGAGAAGGGUGGAAGGAACGUGGCACCUCUCGGGGUGUGUUAUAGCCUUCUACUGGAUACAGCGACCGAGACCGAGGACAGCAGCGUACUCNCAAAGAGCGGGCCUUCGGGCACCUUUACGCUUAGGGCGUUGGCAUAAUGGCCCCUCUACCACCCGUCUUG
rnacentral:rRNA from 1 species